UCUUGUCUUCAAAAGCCAUCCGAUUCCCUGCAAAUUGUAGUAAUUUCCCUCUUGACAAAAACCGCCUUUAGUCCUAUAUUAUAGCAGUAUUUGGGUAAGGAUAUCGAAGAUUGUGUUUGCUAAAUUUAAGUUAAACAAUAAAAUCCACUUGGCUUAAUAUGAGCUUAAGUGGAAUUUUUAUUUAAAUCUGACAGAAAGGUGGUGAGUAGUUAGUGAUAGGUAAAGUUAAAUGGUUUAAUGAAACCAAGGGUUUUGGUUUUAUCGAACCAGAAGGCGGCGGCAAAGAUGUUUUUGUCCAUUACUCUGCCAUUCAGGACCAGGGGUUUAAAACCCUGAGAGAAGGGCAGGAAGUAAGCUUUGAGGUUACUGACGGACCUAAAGGUCCUCAAGCCGUAAACGUGACAAAAGCUUAAGUGGCUUUUUCAAACCCGUUAAAAACCCCCGGUCUGGGGGUUUUUAUUU
rnacentral:sRNA from 1 species